rnacentral:tRNA from 1 species
GAAGGGGUAGCAUAAAAGGUAAUGCAGCUGUCUUGAAAACAGUAACAUAUAUAAUGUCAGUUCAACUCUGGCCUUCUUCU